CAGCCUGCCCAGUGACAAAGUUAAACGGCCGCGGUACCCUAACCGUGCGAAGGUAGCAUAAUCACUUGUUCUUUAAAUCAGGACUAGUAUGAACGGCCUCACGAGAGCUAUACUGUCUCCCCCCUUCAAUCAGUGAAACUGAUCUCCUCGUGAAGAAGCGAGGAUAGUCAUAUAAGACGAGAAGACCCCGUGGAACUUAAAACUUGCACCACUGCCCCCAUACCACAUCCAAAUAAUUCGGACAGCAUGGCAGCGAGUCUUUCGGCUGGGGCGACCGCGGAGAAAAAUAAAACCCCCGUGAUGAAAGGAACACCCUAAUCAAAGAGCUACCGCUCUAAGAAUCAAUAAAUUGACACAUUGACCCAAACAUUUUUUUGAUCAACGAACCAAGUUACCCCGGGGAUAACAGCGCAAUCCAUUUCAAGAGACCCCAUCAACAAAUGGG
rnacentral:rRNA from 1 species